AGGGUUUGAUCCUGGCUCAGGAUGAACGCUAGCGGGAGGCUUAACACAUGCAAGUCGAGGGGUAACGAUGUCUUCGGACAGUCGACGACCGGCGGACGGGUGAGUAACGCGUAUGUAUGCAACCUACCUUAUACUGGGGGAUAGCCCAAAGAAAUUUGGAUUAAUACCGCAUAACAUAUUUGAAUCGCAUGGUAUUUCGAUUAAAACUCCGGCGGUUAAAGAUGGGUAUGCGUGACAUUAGCUAGAUGGUAAGGUAACGGCUCACCAUGGCAACGAUGUCUAGGGGGUCUUAAAGGAUGAUCCCCCACACUGGUACUGAGACACGGACCAGACUCCUACGGGAGGCAGCAGUGAGGAAUAUUGGUCAAUGGACGCAAGUCUGAACCAGCCAUGCCGCGUGAAGGAUGACGGCCCUCUGGGUUGUAAACUUCUUUUAUAUGGGAAGAAACCCUCUUACGUGUAAGAGGCUGACGGUACCAUACGAAUAAGCACCGGCUAACUCCGUGCCAGCAGCCGCGGUAAUACGGAGGGUGCAAGCGUUAUCCGGAUUUAUUGGGUUUAAAGGGUCCGUAGGCGGGGUUUUAAGUCAGUGGUGAAAGCCUACAGCUCAACUGUAGAACUGCCAUUGAAACUGGAACUCUUGAAUGUGAUUGAAGUGGGCGGAAUAUGUCAUGUAGCGGUGAAAUGCUUAGAUAUGACAUAGAACACCGAUAGCGAAGGCAGCUCACUAAGUCAUGAUUGACGCUGAUGGACGAAAGCGUGGGGAGCGAACAGGAUUAGAUACCCUGGUAGUCCACGCCGUAAACGAUGAUCACUAGCUAUUGGCGAUACACUGUCAGUGGCACAGCGAAAGUGUUAAGUGAUCCACCUGGGGAGUACGAUCGCAAGGUUGAAACUCAAAGGAAUUGACGGGGGCCCGCACAAGCGGAGGAGCAUGUGGUUUAAUUCGAUGAUACGCGAGGAACCUUACCUAGACUUAAAUGUAGAUUGCAUAGAGUAGAAAUUCUUUUCCUUCGGAACUAUUUACAAGGUGCUGCAUGGUUGUCGUCAGCUCGUGCCGUGAGGUGUCGGGUUAAGUCCCAUAACGAUCUCAACCCCUAUUCUUAGUUGCCAGCGGAUAAUGCCGGGGACUCUAGGAAAACUGACCUCUUUUAGAGGUGGGAAGGUGGGGAUGAUGUCAAGUCAGUAUGGCCCUUACAUCCAGGGCUGCACACGUGCUACAAUGCUCGGUUCAAUGGGAAGCAAUACCGCGAGGUGGAGCAAAUCACGAAAACCGAGCUCAGUUCGGAUUGGAGUCUGCAACUCGACUCCAUGAAGUUGGAAUCGCUAGUAACGGCGUAUCAGCAAUGACGCCGUGAAUACGUUCCCGGGCCUUGUACACACCGCCCGUCACAUCAUGAAAGCCGGUUCUGCCCGAAGUAUGUGAGUCAACCGCAAGGAGACAGCGUCCUAAGGUGGGGCUGGUGAUUGGGAUGAAGUCAUAACAAGGUAACCGUA
rnacentral:rRNA from 1 species